AACAACCCAGAUCUACAGCUAAGGCCCCCUAAAUCUAUACUAAGUUGAUCUAAGGUGGUUCAUUUACUCAGACAGCCAGGAUGUUGGCUUGGAAGCAGCCAUUCAUUUAAAGAGUGCGUAACAGCUCACUGGUCGAGCGAAAGAGCAUCAAUAAUAAUCGGGCAUAAAGUAUAGUGCCGAAGCUUAGAAUUCUACCGAAUGGUAGGGGAGCAUUCUAUUUACAUUGAAGAUAAAUUGUAAGGUUUAUUGGAGUUUAUAGAAUAGAAAAUGUAGGCAUAAGUAACGAUAAUGCAGGUGAGAAACCUGCACACCGAAAGACUAAGGUUUCCUGAACAACGCUAAUCGAUUCAGGGUUAGUCGGGUCCUAAGAUGAACCCGAAUGGGGUAAUCGAUGGAUAAUCGGUUAAUAUUCCGAUACUACCAUUAUUUGUGAUGGAGUGACGAAGUAGUGAAAGGUCCGCGUACUGACGGAAUAGUACGUUAAAGCGAGUAGGUAUAAGAUUAGUUGGCAAAUCCGCUAGUCUUGCUGAACGUAAUAGUACCACAAUCCUUCGGGAGCGUGGAUAGUGACCCUAAUCAGACUUCCAAGAAAAACUUCUAAACUUAUGAUAAUGGUACCCGUACCAUAAACCGACACAGGUAGUCGAGGAGAGAAUCCUAAGGUGCUCGAGUGAUUCAUGGCUAAGGAACUAGGCAAAAUAGUCCUGUAACUUCGGGAGAAAGGACGCCUCCCUCGUAAGAGGAGGCCGCAGUGAAAAGGCCCAGGCGACUGUUUAUCAAAAACACAUGGCAUUGCAAAUUCGAAAGAAAAAGUAUAAUGUCUGACACCUGCCCGGUGCUGGAAGGUUAAGGGGAGACGUUAGAGUUUACUCAAAGCGUUGAUCUGAAGCCCCAGUAAACGGCGGCCGUAACUAUAACGGUCCUAAGGUAGCGAAAUUCCUUGUCGGGUAAGUUCCGACCUGCACGAAUGGUGUAACGAUCUGGGCACUGUCUCAGCCAUGAGCUCGGUGAAAUUGUAGUAGCGGUGAAGAUGCCGCUUAACCGCAACGGGACGGAAAGACCCCGUGAACCUUUACUAUAACUUUGUAUUGGUAUUGUGUAAAUAAUGUGUAGGAUAGGUGGGAGACUUUGAUCCUGUGUCGCUAGGCAUAGGUUAGUCGUUGGUGAAAUACCACCCUUUAUUUACUUGAUCCCUAACUCAUUUAUGAGGACAUUGCAUGGCGGGUAGUUUGACUGGGGUGGUCGCCUCCUAAAAAGUAACGGAGGCUUUCAAAGGUUCCCUCUGUACGUUUGGUAAUCGUAUUUAGAGCGCAAUAGCAUAAGGGAGCUUGACUGUGAGGCCAACAAGCCGAUCAGGUAGGAAACUAGGAUAUAGUGAUCCGGUGGUUCCGCAUGGAAGGGCCAUCGCUCAAAGGAUAAAAGGUACUCCGGGGAUAACAGGCUGAUCUCCCCCAAGAGCUCACAUCGACGGGGAGGUUUGGCACCUCGAUGUCGGCUCGUCACAUCCUGGGGCUGUAGAAGGUCCCAAGGGUUGGGCUGUUCGCCCAUUAAAGUGGCACGCGAGCUGGGUUCAGAACGUCGUGAGACAGUUCGGUCCCUAUCUGUUGUGGUCGUUAGAAGCUUGAGAGGAUCUAACUCUAGUACGAGAGGACCGAGUUGGACAAACCUCUAGUGUACCGGUUGUGGUGCCAACUGCACCGCCGGGUAGCUACGUUUGGAAGAGAUAAGCGCUGAAAGCAUCUAAGCACGAAGCUUACCUCAAGAUGAGGCUUCUUUUAAGGGUCGUUCAAGACUAGGACGUUGAUAGGCUGUAGGUGUAAAGAUAGAAAUAUCAAAGCUGAGCAGUACUAAUUACCCGUAACUUCCAGUUC
rnacentral:rRNA from 1 species